rnacentral:lncRNA from 1 species
AUGGAGGAGCAGCUCCCCCCGCUGCAUGGGGCCGGGCCCGUCCCCUCCCACCGCAGCCCCGUGCGUGGAGCCAAGUUCAAACCGCCAGCCCUGGAGGAGCAGGACGAGACGUGGGGCCAAACCUGGGGGCCCCCCAACGCCCGCGGGGCUCCAUGGAAGGGAGCGAGCCCGAGAUCAGCCCGAUGUGCGGGCAGUGCUGGCACCAAAAGGAGGAGGGGUAACCCCAGAGCAGCAGCCAGCCGUGUUUUCCCCGAGCAUAAGGAAGGGAAGCAGCACUCUGUGCUGUGUGGGCAGUGGGAAGCACCCAUAGAGGCCCCUCGGUUCCUGUCGUGCUGCUCGCUGAGCUCUUGGAACCCCCCAUGCCAGGCUGGGCUGCCUGGAAAUGCUGUAAAUGAGGUGCUUUCUCCUGGAAUUUGGUCCCAGUUGUUUAAUAAGGCGCUUCAGGGAAGUCAUUGCUGGCUUAAUGGUUUGAGCAAAAUUACGUGGCCUUGUCUUCCUGGCGGCAGAGGUUUCCUGAGAGCAGCUUUGGACUUUGGACCUCAUGGAAGCAGCAUUCCCCUUUGGGGAGUUACACCCUGGGUUCUGUGCAUUGCUGUCUGUAGGUUUGCAGCCUUGCACCACGUUGGGUUUGCACAUCACAUCGCGUUGUGCUCCCUUUGCUCCUGCUGAUGGAUCCCUCCCUACCGCUUGUGCUUUGGCUGCAGCACAGAGGUUGUGCUUUGAAGGGUGUUGAGCUGCUCUCUGCCUGCCCAGACCUGACACCUGGAGCUGGGUUUAAAGCUGAGGCUGGUGGGGGUUUUCACUGCAGACAGGAGGAGGCAGCAAUGCCCGCUGCCAGGACGGGCCCCAAGCACUGUGCCACCCCACAGCGCUGCUGCUAUUGCUGCAUAGGGGAGCUGGGCCACCAACAUUCUUUCAUGGCAGAUGCUGAGCGUGCAAAGUGCUUCCCAUCUCAUCCUGCUGCUCACAUAUCCCCGAUCCCGGUCAUCUGAGGCUGUGUUGGCUUUCCUUCAAUUUAUCUUCAAAGAACCUGAGCUCAUCCCACACAGUGUCCUGGUGUGAGGUUCCCAAUGAGCUCAGGUGUCAGCAUUUGGGUUUCCCCGUUCUGCAGGGAAGGCUGUUGGGUGGUGAAGCUGCUCUGGGCUUUAUGGAAAGGUAGGGAGCAUCUUUCCAAGCAGUCUGGAGCUGUUUGCUUUGAGCUGCCGAGGUUUGUUGGUGGGGG